rfam:Bacillus sp. CAG:988 genomic scaffold, scf6
GGGGCUGUCUUGGGUUCGACGGGAUAGACGAAGAAUGAGUGGCAAGUGGAUGGCAAUCCUUACAUGCACAGUUAAAUAUAACUGGAAACAGAAAUUAUAAUUUAGCUUACGCUGUUUAAUUAAACAAGACUGAGCUGCUUAGUAGAUUUCUUUCUCUACGAGAUUUUUACUAGGCUAAUCAAAGUAGAGUAUAUCGAUAUUUUGUCUUAGGGUAUCGAUGAAUUGUAUAAGACUAGAAAUAAAAUUCAUUUGUUCGUUCUGAAUCUUAUUUCAAAUUUUAAAAACGGAAUAAACUUGUAGAAAUUCAUUUGGGAUUUAUUUCGGACAGGAGUUCAAUUCUCCUCAGCUCCACCA